UGAUGAUGGUGACGGAAAUUUCUAAGCAUACCCUUAAAUCUCUUCCAAGCUUGGUAGAGAAUCUCUCCUUCUUUCUGUUUGAAACUCAAGAUCUUGCUCCUCAAGCA
rfam:Capsicum annuum cultivar Zunla-1 chromosome 2, whole genome shotgun sequence